rnacentral:rRNA from 1 species
UACGUAGGUGGCAAGCGUUGUCCGGAAUUAUUGGGCGUAAAGCGCGCGCAGGCGCCUCUUAAGUCUGAUGUGAAAGCCCCCGGCUCAACCGGGGAGGGCCAUUGGAAACUGGGAGGCUUGAGUAUAGGAGAGAAGAGUGAAUUCCACGUGUAGCGGUGAAAUGCGUAGAGAUGUGGAGGAACACCAGUGGCGAAGGCGACUCUUUGGCCUAUAACUGACGCUGAGGCGCGAAAGCGUGGGGAGCAAACAGGAUAGAU